GGGGCUAUGGGGUAGUUUGGCUAUCCUUUCCGGUUUGGGGCCGGAUGACCCCGGUUCAAAUCCGGGUAGCCCCA
rnacentral:tRNA from 1 species